CAUAAAAUAAUAAGCCCAUCAGACCUUAAUUGGCCCAUGCAUUCAUCCAAGUCCAAUUACAAUUACUAUUCUUCUUAUUAAAUAAACUAACAUCAAAAUGAAAUAAUAAUCUGUUCUAAUUUGAAACGAAACAAUUUUUUUCUUCCUCUUUUUUCUUCUUUUCAAUUCUCACCUGCGUCUCUCUCUCUCUCUCCGUUCUCUCGCCGUCCGUCUCUCUCUCUCUCUCGUCCGGCGAGCGUGGACGAUCCUCGCCGCCUCCAGCGUGGCGAGGUCGGCACCCUUCUUCCCCCUCCUCUCCUUCCCGUUUUUUUCCUAUUUCUUCCCUUCAAUCUAAAAUCCCCAAAUUCUAGGGUUUUCUGCCUCCAUUUUCCCUUCUGAAAUCCGCCCCUCCGGCAAGGCCCGUCGUCGUCUCCGUCGCACUGCCACCCCUGCCUCAGAGAUAGGUGCUCUCCAAUGAACAUCGCCGGAUGGAGGCGUUAUCGAUCCGACGAGGCUGCCUUAGUUCUCACUGUUGCUGUUUGAAUUUCAUCUAUUAUUCUUUUUGUAUUUAUUUAGUUAUUAACUCCUUGUAACACUGGUAUUUCCUUGUAAAAAUUACUCUAAAUGCUAACGAAAUUGUAUUAUUGCUUA